GACGAACGCUGGCGGCGUGCUUAACACAUGCAAGUCGAACGGAAAGGCCCUGCUUGCUGGGUGCUCGAGUGGCGAACGGGUGAGUAACACGUGGGUGAUAUGCCUCUAACUUUGGGAUAAGCUUGGGAAACUGGGUCUAAUCCCGGAUAGGACAUUCGUCUUGCGUCGGAUGUGGAAAGUUUUUUCGGCUAGGGAUGAGUUGGUGGCCUAUUAGCUUGUUGGUGGGGUAAUGGCCUACCAAGGCGUCGACGGGUAGCCGGCCUGAGAGGGUGGACGGCGACAUUGGGACUAAGAGACGGCCCAGACGGCUACAGUAGGCAGCAGGGGGGAAUAUUGCACAAUGGGCGCAAGCCUGAUGCAGCGACGCCGCGUGGGGGAUGACGGCCUUCGGGUUGUAAACCUCUUUCGACAGGGACGAAGCUUUGGUGACGGUACCUAAAUAAGAAGCACCGGCUAACUACGUG
rnacentral:rRNA from 1 species